GGGGGCGAUCCGGAUUUCGACGUGGAUUACAAAACCUGAGGCGCAUGCCGAGGAUGCAGCUGGCCUCGUUAAACAUGCUGCAAUUCAUAGUUGCCAACGACGACAGCUACGCUCUAGCCGCUUAAAACCGGCUAGCCCCUGACCGAAACUUGCUUGUGAGGUUCGGAGCCUUUCGAGGCGCUCAGGGGUCGACUAACGCAAGCUCGCGCCAACCCUGUCCGGGGGAGCGGCGUCAAAACCUUACCGGAACCGCCGUUCGUCGCCCUGCCGGUCGGGUUGCGAAAGGCUAAAUCAAAGACCUGGCUACGCAUGUAGGGCCGAGGGCAGAGGAUUUGCGGACGGGGGUUCGAUUCCCCCCGCCUCCACCA
rnacentral:tmRNA from 1 species